ensembl:lncRNA
GAAUAUGCAUUAUGACCAAGAAAGUGUUUUCCGGAGCAUUCAUCACAGGCUUAAUUUGGUCUCUUGUAAAUCAAUAAUGAAUUCUUGGAUUUCUGUCAACUGAAGCAAAGUUAAUCCAAUGCUAAACAGUUUUGAAAAAGUCACCCAAAAAUUGCUUCCAGCCAUUCAAUUCCCAUUAAGAAUUUACCCUUAAAAAGUUGCAAGCAAUGCAGAUGCACAGUUCCAACAUGCCGUGUCUCUCACUGUACAACCAGGACAGAGUGGUUUAUACAUGGUUACCGAACAGGACACAUCUGUGACAUCUAUAGACAUUUGAUUUCUUGCUUGAGAAAUUCAAGCGUGUGCUCAGCACAUAUAUGAGUUAUUGCCUAGGUAUGUUUACAGAGGGCUAGAAUGUUUUGGUUUUAGGUGAGUUUUCAGUUAAAGAAGAAUUUUUUUUUUCUUCGGCUAUGCAGCCUUAAAGAAGAAAGAAGGCUUUACUUCAAAGAAAAGCUUUGGGCCUUGUUUAAGAUUAUCUUGAAACUUGCUCAGUGUUUUGUUGCUCUAAAUAAUUAUUCCAGCUGCAAACCAUAAAGAUUAAAUAUCUGAUCCUAGCAGAAGGCUAAUCUCCCACAGAGGGAGAUGAGCCAAAGACUACAUCAACUCAAGCAGGGAUUUCAGUAUUGCUCCUGCGUUUUAUAAGAAAGGUGUCCGUAUACAGUCCUGGCAGAAAGACAGACAGAUGAGGAAGGAGAAAACAUGUAAGUUCUGCCAUGGGAAUUUCAGAUGAACUGCAUGAUUUAUCUUUUUUUUUUUUUUUUUUUUUUUAAGCAACAGGAAAGGAAAACUUGAUUAGGAGGAUGCUGGAAAUCAAACCAGCAACUUUUCACAGAAAGGAUGAUGACUUUUCCAAAUUACUUCAAUAGAAAUCAUCACAGCUAUUAAUAUUCAAUAGGAGAAAUGAUGUUGAAGGACUGUACGCACCCUGCUUAGAAGUCCAGGAGCUGGAGAAGUGUUCUACCAGGAACUUUACCUUGCAUGGUGGCACUGUGCGGGCCUUAGCGAAGCUAAGCCUUGGGGCCUUGAUGCGAACCCCAGCACAGAGGGCUCCCAGACUGAGCACUGACUCUCAGCCAAGAAGUAAAACCUUUGUGUUCAUUCAGUCUCUCUGUAAUUCACCACUGUUCACACUCAUUGGUGAGUAGCCUCCAAGCAGUCGUAACAGAGGGGCUCUGUAGGCAUUUGUCAGUGGAAAUAUUUUGUGCUGACUUACAGCUCUCACACUGCUAAUUAUCUGACUGGCACAAACAACAACAACAAAAAAAGGUAUUUAGAACUGCUUUUAGACAAUGUCUAAGUUCCUGAUUUCUUAUGCCCUGGUGAGAUGGAUGUGCUUUUUGUGUAGCACACAGCUGUAGAGAAGCAAAGCUAAUUUUUGUGGCCGUGCCAUUUUCUUAUUGGUGUACAUUUGUAAUGCUCUUAUCAUACGGUAAUAUUCAUGAAGAACCACAAAACAAGUGAAAUAAGUCUUACAAUUUGAAUAAUGUUGGAAAUAACUGCAGAGAUGGUUUCCCCAGAACAGUAAACUAGCACUAAUUGCCUUGGCUGUACGAGAGGAAGCAGAGUCUCGGUUAAAGGCCUGGAAUUCUCUUUUUCAGAAGAUGCAUGGGCCUGGAAACAUAUUUGUGUUCCUAACUGUAAGCAUGUGAAUAAUCCCAUUAGAGAGAUUUUCUGACUGGUUUUGUAGUUGAAGUUAAAAUCACAGUAAGUGUUUAGAGGAUCUGUGCCUAAGGCAGGCGUCAAUAUUGAAAGAGAAAAGCUGGUUAAUACAGAGCGUUUCUUUUUUAGUAAUAUCAUUGCCUGUCUUGUAUUUUUCUGCAAAUUGCAAGAACUGAAAAAUCAAUUUUGUUUUUAAUAAAUAAUUCAUUACACUGCUGAUGUUUUAUACU